rnacentral:rRNA from 1 species
GACGAACGCUGGCGGCGUGCUUAACACAUGCAAGUCGAACGGUAAGGCCCUUCGGGGUACACGAGUGGCGAACGGGUGAGUAACACGUGGGUGAUCUGCCCUGCACUUCGGGAUAAGCCUGGGAAACUGGGUCUAAUACCGGAUAGGACCAUGCGCUUCACGGUGUGUGGUGGAAAGCUUUUGCGGUGUGGGAUGGGCCCGCGGCCUAUCAGCUUGUUGGUGGGGUAAUGGCCUACCAAGGCGACGACGGGUAGCCGGCCUGAGAGGGUGACCGGCCACACUGGGACUGAGAUACGGCCCAGACUCCUACGGGAGGCAGCAGUAGGGAAUUUUCCACAAUGGACGAAAGUCUGAUGGAGCAACGCCGCGUGCAGGAUGACAGCCUUCGGGUCGUAAACUGCUUUUAUGAGUGAAGAUUAUGACAGUAACUCAAGAAUAAGGGACGGCUAACUACGUGCCAGCAGCCGCAGUAA